rnacentral:rRNA from 1 species
CAGUCGAACGCUUCUUUUUCCCCGGAGCUUGCUCCACCGGAAAAAGAAGAGUGGCGAACGGGUGAGUAACACGUGGGUAACCUGCCCAUCAGAAGGGGAUAACACUUGGAAACAGGUGCUAAUACCGUAUAACAAUCAAAACCGCAUGGUUUUGAUUUGAAAGGCGCUUUCGGGUGUCGCUGAUGGAUGGACCCGCGGUGCAUUAGCUAGUUGGUGAGGUAACGGCUCACCAAGGCCACGAUGCAUAGCCGACCUGAGAGGGUGAUCGGCCACAUUGGGACUGAGACACGGCCCAAACUCCUACGGGAGGCAGCAGUAGGGAAUCUUCGGCAAUGGACGAAAGUCUGACCGAGCAACGCCGCGUGAGUGAAGAAGGUUUUCGGAUCGUAAAACUCUGUUGUUAGAGAAGAACAAGGAUGAGAGUAACUGUUCAUCCCUUGACGGUAUCUAACCAGAAAGCCACGGCUAACUACGUGCCAGCAGCCGCGGUAAUACGUAGGUGGCAAGCGUUGUCCGGAUUUAUUGGGCGUAAAGCGAGCGCAGGCGGUUUCUUAAGUCUGAUGUGAAAGCCCCCGGCUCAACCGGGGAGGGUCAUUGGAAACUGGGAGACUUGAGUGCAGAAGAGGAGAGUGGAAUUCCAUGUGUAGCGGUGAAAUGCGUAGAUAUAUGGAGGAACACCAGUGGCGAAGGCGGCUCUCUGGUCUGUAACUGACGCUGAGGCUCGAAAGCGUGGGGAGCAAACAGGAUUAGAUACCCUGGUAGUCCACGCCGUAAACGAUGAGUGCUAAGUGUUGGAGGGUUUCCGCCCUUCAGUGCUGCAGCUAACGCAUUAAGCACUCCGCCUGGGGAGUACGACCGCAAGGUUGAAACUCAAAGGAAUUGACGGGGGCCCGCACAAGCGGUGGAGCAUGUGGUUUAAUUCGAAGCAACGCGAAGAACCUUACCAGGUCUUGACAUCCUUUGACCACUCUAGAGAUAGAGCUUCCCCUUCGGGGGCAAAGUGACAGGUGGUGCAUGGUUGUCGUCAGCUCGUGUCGUGAGAUGUUGGGUUAAGUCCCGCAACGAGCGCAACCCUUAUUGUUAGUUGCCAUCAUUCAGUUGGCCAUUCUAGCAAGACUGCCGGUGACAAACCGGAGGAAGGUGGGGAUGACGUCAAAUCAUCAUGCCCCUUAU